rnacentral:tRNA from 1 species
AAGAUACUAGUAAAAAAUUACACUACCUUGUCAAGGUAAAAUUGUAGGUUAGACCCCUGCGUAUCUUA